UCUACGGGUGGCAGCAGUGGGGAAUAUUGGACAAUGGAGGAAACUCUGACCCAGCAACGCCGCGUGAAUGAUGAAGGUCUUCGGAUUGUAAAGUUCUUUUCUGAGGGAAGAAGAAAGUGACGGUACCUUAGGAAUAAGCCUCGGCUAACUACGUGACAGCAGCCGCGGUAAUACGUAGGAGGCAAGCGUUAUCCGGAAUGACUGGGCGUAAAGGGUGCAUAGGUGGUUCAGCAAGUUAGUAGCGUAAUUCCGGGGCUCAACUUCGGCAGUACUACUAAAACUGUUGGACUUGAGUGCAGAAGGGGCAACUGGAAUUUCUAGUGUAGCGGUGGAAUGCGUAGAUAUUAGGAAGAACACCGGUGGCGAAGGCGAGUUGCUGGACUGUAACUGACGCUGAGGCACGAAAGCGUGGGGAGCAAACAGGAUUAGAUACCCGAGUAGUC
rnacentral:rRNA from 1 species